GACGAUCUGGCCGAGUGGUCUAAGGCGCUUGACUAGAAAUCAAGUCUCUUCGGAGGCGGCGGUUCGAAUCCGCCGGUCGUCG
rfam:Penicillium oxalicum 114-2 unplaced genomic scaffold scaffold_7, whole genome shotgun sequence.